GACAGAGGGGGCGAGUGUUGUCCGGAGACACUGGGCGUAAAGCGCGCGCAGGCGGCAACCUUAGUGUCGUGUGAAAGCUCCCGGCUCAACCGGGGGAGGCCAUGGCAAACUGGGUCGCUCGAGCUGCGGAGAGGCCCCUCGAAUUGCCGGUGUAGCGGUGAAAUGAGUAGAGAUCGGCAGGAAGACCAAGGGGGAAGCCAGGGGGCUGGCCGCAGGCUGACGCUGAGGCGCGACAGCGUGGGGAGCAUACCGG
rnacentral:rRNA from 1 species